rfam:TPA: Bos taurus chromosome 2, whole genome shotgun sequence.
UCCCUAGUGGUCCAGUUGUUAGGACUCCAAAUUUCCAAUCCUGGGUGCCCAGGUUCAUUCUCUGGUUGGGGAA